rnacentral:rRNA from 1 species
AAAGAACUAAUUAAUUAAUAAAGUUAUUGUGGCAAAACUAUUUUUAAUAAUUAAUUUGAAAUGAAAUGUUAUUCGUUUUUAAAUAUAUCUAGUUUUUUCAGAAAAAAAUUUAAUUUUAAAUUUUUUAUGGAUUUAAAUUAAUUAAUUAAUUUAAUUUUAAGAAAAAUUUUAUAUUUUAAGGGAUAAGCUUUAAAUUAAAAUUUUAUAAUGAUUUUUUUUUUAGUUGAAAAUUUUAUAAUUUAUAUUGUUAAUAAAAUUUAAUUUAUUAUAAAUAAUUUCAUUUUUAAAAGAUUUAAUUUUAAUUUAAUUUUUUAUGAAAAAAAAAAUUUUAAUAAAAAAAAUUUGGUUAUAAUGAUAAAAUUAGUAUAUUUAUUUUUAAAGUUUAUUUUUUAAUUAAAUUAAUUAAUAAAAAGGAAUUCGGCAAAUAUUUAUAUUCACUUGUUUAACAAAAACAUGUCUUUUUGAAAUUAAUUUAAAGUCUAAUCUGUCCACUGAUUUAAUUAUUAAAGGACUGCAGUAUAUUGACUGUACAAAGGUAGCAUAAUCAUUAGUCAUUUAAUUGGUGACUUGUAUGAAAGAUUGAAUGAGAUAUAAGCUGUCUCUUUAUUAAUUUAUAUAAUUUAAUUUUUUAAUCAAAAAGUUAAAAUAUUUUAAAAAGACGAGAAGACCCUAUAGAGUUUUAUAAUUAAUUUUAUUUAAUAUUAUUUAUAAAAUUUAAAAUAAAAAUAAAAUUAUUUAUUUUGUUGGGGUGACAAAAAAAUAAAAUAAACUUUUUAUAUAAAAAAUCAUAAAUAAGUGAGUAUAUGAUCCAAUAUUAUUGAUUAUAAGAAAAAAUUACCUUAGGGAUAACAGCGUAAUUUUUUUUUUUAGUUCAAAUAAGAAAAAGAGUUUGCGACCUCGAUGUUGGAUUAAGAUAAAAUUUAAAUGCAAAAGUUUAAAAUUUUG